GCCACGAGACCGAACAAGUGUAAAGUUGAAAAGAACUUUGAAGAGAGAGUUCAACGAGUACGUGAAACCGUUCGGGGGACGAGACCCGAUGAACGCGUCGGCGAGGACUCAGUUUCGGCCGGACCGAUUUUCCUCCAGUGGAACGUCGCGACUCGCUGGGAAGCGGUCGUGGAGCUCGGGGAGUGCUCGCCGGAGUCCCGGCGAAUACGCCGUGCCGAGUCGGCGUCGGCCGUCUUCUUGCGUCCGAUGGCGCCCUG
rnacentral:rRNA from 1 species